rnacentral:rRNA from 1 species
UACGAAGGGGGCUAGCGUUGCUCGGAAUUACUGGGCGUAAAGGGCGCGUAGGCGGAUGUUUAAGUUGGGGGUGAAAGCCCGGGGCUCAACCUCGGAAUUGCCUUCAAUACUGGACAUCUUGAGUACGGGAGAGGGUAGUGGAACUCCGAGUGUAGAGGUGAAAUUCGUAGAUAUUCGGAAGAACACCAGUGGCGAAGGCGACUCACUGGCCCGUUACUGACGCUGAGGCGCGAAAGCGUGGGGAGCAAACAGG